ensembl:lncRNA
CCUGAGCUUUUGUGAAGGCGCGUCUAAAAUAGAAUAACAAACAUAAUUAGAUAGGGAAUGGUUUUAAAUAAUUGCCUGCAUCUUUGACUUCCGUCGCAUAUAUUCUGCCUCACACGUCUUACUUUCAAUAGCUGCGCGCGACACGUGUUGGAUCUCUUUGCAGUCGGGGCUCUGAAAGAUCUGCACGUUAGGUCCUCGAUAUUGGAGUUGAAGUCAGUAUGCUCUGGAUCUCCUGUUUAAAACGGCCCCUCCCAACGGGGUCAACAUGGCUGAUGCAUGGUCAGUGUAUCAGUUUUGCGGGAUGUCUUUCACCGCAUACACGAAGUACCACCUGGAAAGACAUGCCAUGUUGAGUCGGCUCCAUGGCAACCAGAUGGAGUCCAAUGGCCAUCAGAUCUUAAUCUGUGUGAGAUUAUGCUUGAAUACUCAUGGAAUCAUCUAGAUGGCCCUGCUUUACAUCUAGCAAGAAUAAUCACUGUACUGAUGGAGUGACCAUUUCCUUUAAGAUGAAGCAUGCCAACGGCACAUUUCUAUUGGCUGCUUUGCGCUGAGGUGAUCGUUCAGUUCUGAGUGCUCAACUGUCAUCUAGAAAUGGAGACGUCACUCCUGAUGUGAUGAAAUGAUCUUUGAGGUUUGGUUCUGAGUGCUCAACUGUUUCAUCUAGAAAUGGAGAUGUCACUCCUGAUGUGAUGGAACAAUCAUUGGGUGCAUCGGUUUUGCGGGUUGUCAUCACCGCAUAAACAAAGUACCACCUGGAAAGACAUGCCAUGUUGAGUCGGCUCCAUGGCAACCAGAUGGAGUCCAAUGGCCAUCAGAUCUUAAUCUGUGAGAUUAUGCUUGAAUACUCCUGGGAUCAUCUGGGUGGCCCUGCUUUACAUCUUGGUAGCACGAAUAAUGGAGAUAUUAUCACUGUACUGAUGGAGUGACCAUUUCCGUUAAGAUGAAGCAUGGCAACGGCACAUUUCUAUUGGCUGCUGUGCGCUGAGGUGAUCGUUCAGGGUCAGUUCUGAGUGCUCAACUGUCAUCUAGAAAUGGAGACGUCACUCCUGAUGUGAUGGAACGAUCAUUAGGAUUAUGCUUGAAUACUCAUGGAAUCAUCUAUAUGGCCCUGCUUUACAUCUUGGUAGCAAGAAAAAUUAAUGUACUGAUGGAGUGACCAUUUCCGUUAAGAUGAAGCAUGCCAACGGCACAUUUCUAUUGGCUGCUUUGUGCUGAGUUCUGAGUGCUCAACUGUUUCAUCGAGAAAUGGAGAUGUCACUCCUGAUGUGAUGGAACGAUUAUUGGGUUCUGAGUGCUCAACUGUUUCAUCUAGAAAUGGAGACGUCACUCCUGAUGUGAUGGAAUGAUUAUUGGGAUUAUGCUUGAAUCUGGAUGGCCCUGCUUUACAUCUUGGUAGCAAGGAUAAUCACUGUACUGAUGGAGUGACCAUUUCCGUUAAGAUGAAGCAUGGCAACGGCACAUUUCUAUUGGCUGCUUUGCGCUGAGAUUAUGCUUGAAUACUCCUGGAGUCGUCUGGAUGGCCCUGCUUUACAUCUUGGUAGCAAGAAUAAUGGAGAUAUUAUCACUGUACUGAUGGAGUGACCAUUUCCUUUCAGAUGAAGCAUGGCAACGGCACAUUUCUAUUGGCUGCUUUGUGCUGAGGUGAUCGUUCAGUUCUGAGUGCUCAACUGUCAUCUAGAAAUGGAGACGUCACUCCUGAUGUGAUGAAAUGAUCUUUGAGGUGACUGAUCAGUUCUGGUUUUACAAUUCAGAGAAGUGACAUUUAACAGAAUGAACUCAACAUUAUGCUUGAAUACUCCUGGAAUCUGGAUGGCCCUGCUUUACAUCUUGGUAGCAAGAAUAAUCACUGUACUGAUGAAGUGACCAUUUCCGUUAAGAUGAAGCAUGGCAACGGCACAUUUCUAUUGGCUGCUUUGCGCAGAGGUGAUUGUUCAGGUUCGGUUCUGAGAGCUCAACUGUCAUCUAGAAAUGGAGACGUCACUCCUGAUGUGAUGACAUGAUCUUUGAGGUGACUGGUCAGUUCUGGUUCUACAAUUUCAAGAAGUUCCAUUUAACAGAAUGGACUCGUAUUUGCCAUGUCAUCGAUGACCACAACCUGCACGGCAUCAAGACGACUGAUUUAAGAUCAUGAUUGAUAAUAACACUAACAUGAUCGAUAAUAACACAUAUUUACCCGUUCCAAAAAAGUCUCAAUUCUGAUUAUCAUAAGCAUUGAUUUCACCCAAAUGUAGGGAUCUAUAUCUGUAGGGAUCUGUUAUUAUGUUUUAAAAUGCCAUUUACAUGAAGGAGUAUUCUAUGACCAUGUUCCUCUAAAAACAUUGAAGCUUGAGUUAGAAGUACAGCAGUGUCAUGUUUUAAGAAACCUUUUUUCUGUGUAUGCUGUAGUGGGGGUUAGAAUGGACUACUUGCCGCAAAAGUCAUGUGUAUUGUGUGCUGAAUAUAACAUUUAUGUUGUGUGUUUGUGGAAUUUAAUAAAUAAAGCUG